UCAGGCUGUGGGGAGGAGAUACUUGCAUGAGGCUUGCUUGAAACAAGCUCCAUCUCUCUGAUGAAGAGCCUGGCCUGCUGGCGGGGACGCUUGGACGUACUAUUAUAGUCCUAGUGCAUUCCCAGUGACUGGAAAUGAAGGAGAAUGGAUAGCCCUGUUUUUUCCCCCGACGUGCUGCUGAGUUUCUGCCCGUGCGGCAGCGCCGUUGUGCCGUCGCUGCCCGUCCCGCGGGCUCGCCRGGAAGAGCGCGCCGUGCGGGAGAGCCCUGAGCGCACGGGCUGAAAGCAGGCAGCCCAUAACUAACUUUAGAGAAAAAGCAUGACCUCAGUAUAUUACACGUGUUGGUGAUGUACGC